CCUUAACCACUGAGCCACGACGGGAACUCCCAUUGCUUUUUUUUUAUGCAUGAUUCUAUUGCAUACUGAAUAGACUAUAGUAGAGUGUAAACAUAACUUUUAUAUGCAUUGGAAAACCAAAAAAAUUCAUGUGACUUCUUUAUUGUGGUCUUCACCUCAGCACAGUGGUCUGGAACCAAACCCGCGGUAUCUCCAAGAUAUGCCUGUAUCACUAAUACCUUUGUUUGUAUUCAGCAGUAUUUUUCAACUAAGUUGUUGAAAUACUUACAAGUGUUCCUGUGAAUUUCACUUUUCCCAAACACAGAUUCAGUAGGUAAAUCACAUCUUUAACUUUUAAAAUAAGCACAGUUCGAAAUUUAAAAAAAAAAAAAGGAAGUCCUUUCUAAGUGCAAAAAUGGGUUGGUUUCAACAGCUGGAGAAUUUCCUUCUUUGGCCUGGACCUCUCCUUUGUCUGGCUUUAUCUACAGACACACACACAGACACAUACACAUGCUCACCAGUGUUAAACUUUUUUCAUGUGUGUGUGCUUUGUACAAUGGAGCUUAAUAAUUUACAUAUUUUUCCUUUAAUAUCACCUCUUCAUGGUCACAUAGUGUCUAUGUAAUAAAGAGUGAGGUUCACAGGUGAAAUGACAAAGUUGAAACUAAGAUCUUCAGUCUCCAAACCUCACUGUCUUUUCAGUAGCCCAUUUGUAGCAGAAGAGUCAAGAAUUUUGUUUUGAGCUGCAGCUCUCAUUAGAGCAGAAUGACCUUCUUGGGAGAUGUUUUCCAGCCUAAAAAAAAUACCUGCCUGCUCUCCACUUCCAUCGAUGGCAAAUGUCUGCCCUCUUCUGGCCAAAAGAAGGAUGACAACCAUCACUGAGAAAUUCUUAGGACAAAGUCAGACCUUGAAAUGGGGGGAUUUGUGGUUGCUCCUUGAUAAUUUUGCUUUUUAGUGAGUUCUUGCCAUUGCUCUGAAUAUAACUUUGCUCUGGGACCCUCAGGGAAGCUGUAUGCACCCCUCCCCCUUGAACUAGGUGAUCUCUGAAGACCUCACCAGCCCUCAUUCUAAGAGCCAUGAAGGAGGCUAUGUGUUAAGGACAUCUUAUAGCAAUGCAAGGCACUUGAUGCAGAUGCGCUGUGGGCAGAUGUGCUGGCAUGGAACCCUGGGCGGUGCUAGCGUAAAUAGACCCCGUGCAUUGAUUGAUGCCGAAGCCCCUGCGAUCCUUCUCUUGUUCUUCGGAGUUCCUACAAGGCUCUGUGCUCCCUCAGGUGUCUCUAUAGCAAACAGUUCUUUCCAUCUGGAUGAGCCACGGUCGGCAUGGUCUUCACUCCCAUGAUGAACUCUUAACAGUCCAGGGACGCAGCGAGGAGUGGCCAACACUGGGGAGCUUCCUACUGCAAGUGCUGGGCCAGCACUCCUCCCGCGCUGACCGGAUGGAAACUGCAUGGGCAGCACAUUCAAGAGGCAAAGGAACUGAGAAUCUGCUUGAAAGACUUGCUUCGCUUGGGCGUUCCUGUCGUGGCUUAGCGGUUCAGAAGGCCGUCAGGAGACACUGAGAGGAGGCAAGGAACUGAGAUGAGAAGAGGAAAAGCUCAGCAAGAAGAGGCUAUCCGAAUGGCUGAUACAGCUACAAAAGGUGCUUAACCUUGUUAGUAAUCAAGGAAAUACAAACUGAAACAGACACCUAUCUUGUAACCAGCAACUCCACUCCUAGGCACAUACCCAACAGAAGUGCAAGCAUAUGUGUACAAAGACUUUUACAAGAAAGUUCAUUGCAGCGUUAUUUGAAAUAUCGCCAAACUGGAAGCAGCCCAAAGGUCCAUUCAUAAUAGAAGUGGCGGUAUCCUCACUCAGUGAAAUACUCUUCGGCAAUUAUGAUGGAAAAAACCUAUGGAAAAAUACAACACGAACAAACCUCACAAAUAUUUUGAGCACAGAAAUCCAACACAAAAGAAUAUAUGCUGUAUUAUUCCACUUAUGUAAGAUCAAAAACAAGCAAAAUUUUACUAUAGCUUUAGGAGUCUGUGUAAUAAUUAAAUAGGGAGGCAGUAGUUUGGGGAAGGGGACCUGAGGUUUGGGCUUGGCUUCAGGGGUGCUAAAAAUGUCCUGUUGCUUAUAAUGAUGGAUUGUAUCAAAUUGUAUGCUUAUAAUUUGUACACUCUUUUUUUAUGUGAGGUACAUUUCAAUAAGCUUUUGCAAAUUCAGCAAUGCUCUGAUCAGACCAAUCUUAGAGAAUUCUUUGUUUACACUGUCAGUUAUAAUAAUGUAAUAGUUGAUGUGACAAUUUAUAAGUGACACUGAUGAAACAAAAUGACAAAUUUAUGGUGAAUAACUGCUAGUCAAAGAAUAAAGCUGAACUCAGGGAAGAAAAGCUACACACAGAAAGUAACCUGAAGAUUUUAGAGAAGGCAGUUCAACAGAGAUCAAAAUACCUUAGAAAAAGGCUCUUCGCCUGACUCAAGACUUGGGGACCUGCUGGCCUUCAUGCACACUUUGUCCUGGCCUCUGAGGCUCUUGCUGGUGCAUACCCAGCCUACACCUCUUUCAGUCCCGAUCAGUGCAUGUGGAUCUGGAGCUCUGCCCAGCAGGCAGCAGGAAGAUAGUGCAUGUGAGUAAGAAGGCUUCAGCGAGCCGUCUGGAAGUACAGAACCAGCAGAUGCUCACUAGUUCAGAGUGGAUAUAGCACCGUGGCUGCAAGCGUGGCUUCCACAGCCAGACUGCAUGGAUUUGAAUCCUGGCUUUGUCAAGACAUGUGC